rnacentral:rRNA from 1 species
GUGACAAUAACGAUGGGGAUACACCUAUAUCCAUGCCGAACAUAGAAGUUAAGCCCAUCGGUGCCGAAAGUACUUGGCUGGAAGCGGCCUGGAAGGAUAGGACGUUGCUGAAU